rnacentral:rRNA from 1 species
AUGGCGAAGAUGAUCACGGCGAAUGACGAUGUCCCGGCGUCGCCGCGGGGCCUCAAGGAGCUGCUCGCGUGCUACGUGCUACCUCGCCCUCGAUGCCGGAAGAGCACCACCGCGGCAUCGCUUCUUCUCCAUCUUCGCGCCGCAUCGUUUCUUCUCUGCCUUGCCCCGCCCCCACGCACCAGGAGAACCCGACGCUGCUGCGUGCCGCGCGAGCCAUCCAAAAGGGAGCUCGCCGCACGCAUGAUCCACGCAUCCAACAACACUUCCGCCCUGCGGCCACAAAGCGGGGCUCCGUCGCCGCCACUAGGUGCCCGUACCGGGCAGGACCUGCCUCGAGCCGAUGCCGCUGCUGCUCUGCGGAGCGAGAAUCGCCGGUCGCUGUGCCGGUUAAUCACGCGUACAAGCUGUCGGCCGUGGCGGCGGCGCACACCACCCGCAGUCAGAUUACGAAAUAUGAUUAGGGGUUAG